CGCAUUUUGCCAUUUCGUAAGGAAAUUAUCAGUCACGACUGAUCAUACAAAUAUGUGCAUGAUACUGUGAUUAAUUUGUCUGUGUGAUUAAACAGUGGAUUAAUUAGAACCAAAGAAAUGAAACUAAACAUGCUGCAAUUUUGAAAGGAAUCAUGUCAAAAGCGUCAAAGAGUUUGUCCACGUCUUUGACUUUUUGUGUGCCCAAGACCAGAUUGCCAUUAUUAUACGAAUUGUAUUCCAUUUGAUGAUUGUAAUUUACAAGUGAUGAUUGUAUUUUUCCAAUCAACUUUUCGCUUAUUUCUGCCACAAUAUCGCUCAAACCUUGUGAGAAUUACGUUGAUUAAUUAAGUUCCGACAGAAUCUUUUUUAACUAUAUAUAACUGGCAUGGCAAAGCCCCCUCCCCCAUUUUCCAUGAUGCCUCCACCAGUCAACUAGUUUUCCCCCUUCCUCAGUUAAGGUCCCUUUUUCUCUAAAAUAUAAGCAAAAUAUUGGAAGGAAAAUGGAAUUUAGAAGGGAGUUUUGAUAUUCAAGUAACUGAACCUUCCUUUGUGAAACUUAUGUCAUGUGUUUUAUCUUCUUUUUACAUUGUGUUGUAAAUACUUUAGAUUUUAAAGUCUUCAAGUGGAUAGCAUAGCCCAAACCCUAUAAAUUUGAAUUGUUGAAGGCUAGGCUGAACAAGUUAGUGGUCAUGUCGUGGUAUUUACUGAUAAACAUGCAUACCAUGCAAGGACUGAACUCAAGAUUCAUUCUGUCUACAGUAUAAAGUGACGUACGCGUACGCUGUAUAUACAAAAAUCUCCUUCAGAAAACGCAGGAAAUGCAAUCGUAGGGGUAAAAAAAUACGAACCUUUUCUGGGAGAGCCCCCAGGCCUCUCUAUGAUAUGACACCACACCAAACUUUGGAUCACUAACAACCAUCUGUCGCUUCUCUACACUAGCUUAUGG